AAGUCGUAACAAGGUUUCCGUAGGUGAACCUGCGGAAGGAUCAUUACUGAGCUCGUGCCCCCUCGGGGGUAGAACUCCCACCCUUUGUGUACCUGCCACCGUUGCUUUAGCGGGCCGCCCCGCCGGCGCGUGCCCGCUAGAGGCCCUCCCAAACCCGUUUGAAAUGGCACGCAACUUGUCUUGAUAGCAAUCAGUAAAACUUUCAACAACGGAUCUCUUGGCUCUG
rnacentral:misc_RNA from 1 species